rnacentral:misc_RNA from 1 species
CAUCAUACGAGCUCAAACCAGCUACAACAGAUCCUGUUGUUGCAAAAGUUGAUGCUACAUCUGGAUAAUCUUUCCAAGAUGUUGUAACCUUGAGAGAUGGAUACAACCAACUCUUAAUGGAAUCCACAAAGUUGCUUGGAUCAAAGUUCAAAAUGGCUUCCCAAUCCACUUGUACCCCAUUUGGGAUUUUCCCAUCAAACUCCAUAUUAGCAGCAAGAAGUAAUCCAAGCAAAACUAUGAAUCCAACAGCAGCAGAACCUCUAGACAGUGGCAUAAAAUUGUACCAGUAAUAUGUCAUCCUUAAAAUUGCAUCUCUAACAUUUUCAAGUACAUCAAGAUCAGUGGACCCAUAAAUUUCACCGCAAUAAGCAUUGCACACAGCUUCCCAUGCUGUUGCCAUUUCUGCAUCAUACUCUUCCCAUCUAGAAGGCGUGCAUGGUGUUCUAAUAGCAAAGUCAUAUCCAUGUUCACCCAUCUUCACUAGGGUAAUCCUUGUCCCUUCAAGCCGCUUCCCCUCCACUGCAGUACUGUUGCACCAUGUAGCCAACCAGAAGUCCUCACCAACCACUUUGUAAAGAUCAGAACAGCUUUUUGCAUCCAUAAUAUCUUGUAAUUUCUCAUUUUUGGAUAUACCAAUACUUUCAUCAGCUUUGUUGUGCACAUACAUUUUAUCUUUCAUGAUGGUCUUUGCAGCAUUUAACGUUCUUUCAUAAUUUGGGUAGUAACGAACAACUUUUGCUUGUCCGAGAA